AGAGUUUGAUCAUGGCUCAGGACGAACGCUGGCGGCGUGCUUAACACAUGCAAGUCGAACGGAAAGGCCCUUCGGGGUACUCGAGUGGCGAACGGGUGAGUAACACGUGGGUGAUCUGCCCUGCACUUUGGGAUAAGCCUGGGAAACUGGGUCUAAUACCGAAUAUGACCAUGCGCCUCCUGGUGUGUGGUGGAAAGCUUUUGCGGUGUGGGAUGGGCCCGCGGCCUAUCAGCUUGUUGGUGGGGUAAUGGCCUAUCAAGGCGACGACGGGUAGCCGGCCUGGGAGGGUGACCGGCCACACUGGGACUGAGAUACGGCCCAGACUCCUACGGGAGGCAGCAGUGGGGAAUAUUGCACAAUGGGCGCAAGCCUGAUGCAGCGACGCCGCGUGAGGGAUGACGGCCUUCGGGUUGUAAACCUCUUUCAGCACAGACGAAGCGCAAGUGACGGUAUGUGCAGAAGAAGGACCGGCCAACUACGUGCCAGCAGCCGCGGUAAUACGUGGGGUCCGAGCGUUGUCCGGAAUUACUGGGCGUAAAGAGCUCGUAGGUGGUUUGUCGCGUUGUUCGUGAAAACUCACAGCUUAACUGUGGGCGUGCGGGCGAUACGGGCAGACUUGAGUACUGCAGGGGAGACUGGAAUUCCUGGUGUAGCGGUGGAAUGCGCAGAUAUCAGGAGGAACACCGGUGGCGAAGGCGGGUCUCUGGGCAGUAACUGACGCUGAGGAGCGAAAGCGUGGGGAGCGAACAGGAUUAGAUACCCUGGUAGUCC
rnacentral:rRNA from 1 species